CUUGUUGAUACCUAGGUCUGAUUCCCCUUGUUCUCACGAGAGAGAGAGAGAGAGAGAGAGAGAGAGAGAGAGCAUUGGAGAAUAUCUAAAUGCAAAUGCUAAAAUUAUGCAUGAUCUUCCUUAGCGCAGUGGCCGGUCACGGUGACGGUCACAUCACUGGAAGUACCCGGGAGGUUUAGAAAAAUAUCCGAUUAAAUCCGACGGUUCACAUCGAUAAGCAUCAUGAUCCGGAUGAACUUGACAACUGCAACCGCGGCCAUUGUCGUCGGUCCCUUCGCAGGAUGCAGGUGCGCAUCGAGCCAAUUAAUGCACCACCCGAAUAGAAGAGAGAGACGAUCGAAAUCGGGGAGAUUUUUCCUUCUCUCCGGUAGUUUAUACGUUCGUUGUCUAGAUCUAGAUUCUGGAGUGGAUCGUUCGGGAUCGAUCGGGGAAGGGAUGGAUCCGGCGUUGCUCGAUGGCAUCAUAAACAGGCUCCUGGAGGUGCGGUUGGCGAGGUCCGGGCAGCAGGUGCAGCUCUCGGAGUCGGAGAUUCGACAACUUUGCAUGGUCUCUCGGGAGAUUUUCCUCAGCCAGCCCAAUCUCCUGGAGCUCGAGGCUCCCAUCAAGAUCUGCGGUGACAUUCAUGGCCAGUAUAGUGAUCUUUUAAGACUCUUCGAGUAUGGUGGUUUUCCUCCUGAGGCCAACUAUUUAUUCUUAGGUGAUUAUGUGGACCGAGGAAAACAAAGCUUGGAAACAAUAUGCCUUCUUCUUGCUUACAAAAUAAAGUACCCAGAGAACUUUUUUCUACUGAGAGGAAAUCAUGAAUGCGCUUCUAUAAAUAGAAUAUAUGGGUUUUAUGAUGAAUGUAAGCGCCGGUUUAAUGUUAGAUUAUGGAAAGUUUUUACUGAUUGCUUCAACUGCCUUCCUGUAGCUGCUCUAAUCGAUGACAAAAUAUUAUGCAUGCAUGGUGGCCUUUCACCUGAUCUGUCAAACUUGGAUCAAAUUAAAAGUUUAACUCGUCCAACUGAUGUCCCAGACACUGGUUUAUUAUGCGACUUACUUUGGUCAGAUCCUGGUAGAGAUAUUCAAGGUUGGGGAAUGAAUGAUAGAGGGGUUUCAUACACUUUUGGUGCUGAUAAGGUUUCAGAAUUCUUGUCGAAGCAUGAUCUGGAUCUUAUCUGUCGGGCUCAUCAGGUUGUUGAGGAUGGGUAUGAAUUCUUUGCUAACAGAGAACUUGUCACCAUAUUUUCAGCCCCAAACUACUGUGGUGAAUUUGACAAUGCCGGUGCAAUGAUGAGUGUUGAUGAAACUCUAAUGUGCUCUUUUCAAAUUCUCAAGCCUGCAGAGAAGAAACCCAAAUUUAUUAUGCCAACAGGAAUAUGAUAAUAACAAAGCCUAUUUAUCUAUAUGAUUAUCAUGGAUGUUUAUCAGCAAUGAUGGAAACAAUCUUACAGCUUGUAGUUUACUUCAAGGCUGCUAGUAGGUUAUGGAGUACAUAAAAAUACUAUCUCUUGUCAUCAUGGCAUAUGAUAUUUGACUUCAUAUGCAACCAAAAGUUAGAAACUUGAUAAUCGAAGGUGCAAAGCUUCAUGAAUAAUGGAAAUGAAUUUGGGGCGUGUUAAUGCCACUAAUGGAGCUGACAUAAUAUGAUAUAGGCAUUUGGCGGUCUGUCUGGAAGCUAUCUCAUUCUUAGAUGGCAAGUGCUGUAGUUUUUUUCAUCUUCAAUGUGCAAAACUAUGCUGCAGGUGUGCGUACAUUGGUGUUGGCUGGUUGGAGUAGCCUACUCUCUUCUUCAACGCCCUGAUUUUAAGUAACGGAUUUUUUUUUUUUAAAAGACAAUCCAAAUAUGCAAAAAAAAUUAUGACAAAGCCAUGUUGAUUAGGUGGUAUGAAUGAUUAAUUGGAAAUUAUGCAUUGCAUGAAUAGACUAUAGCUGGAAGUGAUCAUGAUGUUAAUUCAGAGAUCUGUUUGAAUUUGUCAAUCA